GCAGGAGAUCCGGUGCAUUGUUGGAAAUCUUUGAUUUUUCAUCACCUCUGUACUUUACAGACAUUCAUCUGAAAGGCUGUAAAAAAACAGGACUAAAGGAGGAGGAGUACCCAUAAGCUCCUGAGUGCUUUUCUUUCCCUUUCUAAAUUUUUUGAGGGUUUAGGGAUUCUUGAGUUAUUAUAGGUUAAAGGGAGGGAAAGAAAGCAUUUUUACCUUGUGAGCGAACUCAAUUGGGAGAAAAAACAAAUUUCCUGUUAGUAAAGAAUGAACGGAGUCUCCGGUGUGAUGUCAAGGCAAGUAUUGCCAGCAUGUGGAAGCCUUUGUUUCUUCU
rnacentral:misc_RNA from 1 species